rnacentral:rRNA from 1 species
GCAGGCCUAACACAUGCAAGUCGAGCGGUAACAGGAAGAAAGCUUGCUUUCUUUGCUGACGAGCGGCGGACGGGUGAGUAAUGCCUGGGAAUAUGCCUUAACGUGGGGGAUAACUAUUGGAAACGAUAGCUAAUACCGCAUGAUGCCUACGGGCCAAAGAGGGGGACCUUCGGGCCUCUCGCGUUAAGAUUAGCCCAGGUGGGAUUAGCUAGUUGGUGAGGUAAUGGCUCACCAAGGCGACGAUCCCUAGCUGGUCUGAGAGGAUGAUCAGCCACACUGGAACUGAGACACGGUCCAGACUCCUACGGGAGGCAGCAGUGGGGAAUAUUGCACAAUGGGCGCACCUGAUUGCAGCCAUGCCGCGUGUAUGAAGAAGGCCUUCGGGUUGUAAAGUACUUUCAGUCGUGAGGAAGGCAUUUGCGUUAAUAGCGUAAGUGUUUGACGUUAGCGACAGAAGAAGCACCGGCUAACUCCGUGCCAGCAGCCGCGGUAAUACGGAGGGUGCGAGCGUUAAUCGGAAUUACUGGGCGUAAACGCAAUGCAGGUGGUUCGUUAAGUCAGAUGUGAAAGCCCGGGGCUCAACCUCGGAAUUGCAUUUGAAACUGGCGGACUAGAGUGCUGUAGAGGGGGGUAGAAUUUCAGGUGUAGCGGUGAAAUGCGUAGAGAUCUGAAGGAAUACCGGUGGCGAAGGCGGCCCCCUGGACAGACACUGACACUCAGAUGCGAAAGCGUGGGGAGCAAACAGGAUUAGAUACCCUGGUAGUCCACGCCGUAAACGAUGUCUACUUGGAGGUUGUGGCCUUGAGCCGUGGCUUUCGGAGCUAACGCGUUAAGUAGACCGCCUGGGGAGUACGGUCGCAAGAUUAAAACUCAAAUGAAUUGACGGGGGCCCGGACAAGCGGUGGAGCAUGUGGUUUAAUUCGAUGCAACGCGAAGAACCUUACCUACUCUUGACAUCUAGAGAAGCCAGCGGAGACGCAGGUGUGCCUUCGGGAACUCUAAGACAGGUGCUGCAUGGCUGUCGUCAG